rnacentral:rRNA from 1 species
AGUGAACGCUGGCGGUAGGCCUAACACAUGCAAGUCGAACGGCAGCACAGUAAGAGCUUGCUCUUACGGGUGGCGAGUGGCGGACGGGUGAGGAAUACAUCGGAAUCUACUUUUUCGUGGGGGAUAACGUAGGGAAACUUACGCUAAUACCGCAUACGACCUACGGGUGAAAGCAGGGGAGCUUCGGACCUUGCGCGAUUGAAUGAGCCGAUGUCGGAUUAGCUAGUUGGCGGGGUAAAGGCCCACCAAGGCGACGAUGCGUAGCUGGUCUGAGAGGAUGAUCGGCCACACUGGAACUGAGACACGGUCCAGACUCCUACGGGAGGCAGCAGUGGGGAAUAUUGGACAAUGGGCGCAAGCCUGAUCCAGCCAUACCGCGUGGGUGAAGAAGGCCUUCGGGUUGUAAAGCCCUUUUGUUGGGAAAGAAAAGCAGCAGGUUAAUACCCCGCUGUUCUGACGGUACCCAAAGAAUAAGCACCGGCUAACUUCGUG